rnacentral:rRNA from 1 species
CCCUUAGAUGUCCUGGGCCGCACGCGCGCUACACUGACGGAUUCAACGAGCUUACAACCUUGGCCGAAAGGUCUGGGUAAUCUCCAAAAUCCGUCGUGAUGGGGAUAGAUUAUUGCAAUUAUUAAUCUUCAACGAGGAAUGCCUAGUAAGCGCAAGUCAUCAGCUUGCGUUGAUUACGUCCCUGCCCUUUGUACACACCGCCCGUCGCUCCUACCGAUUGAAUGGUCCGGUGAAGCGUUUGGACUAUGGUUUUCUGAUGGUCCGCCGUUGGAUUACCGUGGGAAGUUCGUUAAACCUUAUCAUUUAGAGGAAGGAGAAGUCGUAACA